rnacentral:rRNA from 1 species
GAUGAACGCUGGCGGCGCGCCUAACACAUGCAAGUCGAACGGCACCCCUCCUCGGAGGGAAGCGAGUGGCGAACGGCUGAGUAACACGUGGAGAACCUGCCCCCUCCCCCGGGAUAGCCGCCCGAAAGGACGGGUAAUACCGGAUACCCCGGGGUGCCGCAUGGCACCCCGGCUAAAGCCCCGACGGGAGGGGAUGGCUCCGCGGCCCAUCAGGUAGACGGCGGGGUGACGGCCCACCGUGCCGACAACGGGUAGCCGGGUUGAGAGACCGACCGGCCAGAUUGGGACUGAGACACGGCCCAGACUCCUACGGGAGGCAGCAGUGGGGAAUCUUGCGCAAUGGGGGGAACCCUGACGCAGCGACGCCGCGUGCGGGACGGAGGCCUUCGGGUCGGAAACCGCUUUCAGCAGGGAAGAGUCAAGACUGUACCUGCAGAAGAAGCCCCGGCUAACUACGUG